UGGGGAAUUUUGGACAAUGGGCGAAAGCCUGAUCCAGCAAUGCCGCGUGUGUGAAGAAGGCCUUCGGGUUGUAAAGCACUUUUGUCCGGAAAGAAAUCCUUGGCUCUAAUACAGUCGGGGGAUGACGGUACCGGAAGAAUAAGCACCGGCUAACUACGUGCCAGCAGCCGCGGUAAUACGUAGGGUGCAAGCGUUAAUCGGAAUUACUGGGCGUAAAGCGUGCGCAGGCGGUUUGCUAAGACCGAUGUGAAAUCCCCGGGCUCAACCUGGGAACUGCAUUGGUGACUGGCAGGCUAGAGUAUGGCAGAGGGGGGUAGAAUUCCACGUGUAGCAGUGAAAUGCGUAGAGAUGUGGAGGAAUACCGAUGGCGAAGGCAGCCCCCUGGGCCAAUACUGACGCUCAUGCACGAAAGCGUGGGGGAGCAAACAGGAUUNGAUACCCUGGUAGUCCACGCCCCUAAACGAUGUCAACUAGUUGUUGGGGACUUCAUUUUCCUUAGUAACGUAGCUAACGCGUGAAGUUGACCGCCUGGGGAGUACGGUCGCAAGAUUAAAACUCAAAGGAAUUG
rnacentral:rRNA from 1 species